rnacentral:rRNA from 1 species
AACGAACGCUGGCGGCAGGCCUAACACAUGCAAGUCGAACGCACCGCAAGGUGAGUGGCGCACGGGUGAGUAACACGUGGGAAUGUAUCCUUUGGUUCGGAAUAACGUCUGGAAACGGACGCUAAUACCGGAUGAGCCCUUAGGGGGAAAGAUUUAUCGCCGAAGGAGCAGCCCGCGUCUGAUUAGGUAGUUGGUGGGGUAAAGGCCUACCAAGCCGACGAUCAGUAGCUGGUCUGAGAGGAUGAUCAGCCACACUGGGACUGAGACACGGCCCAGACUCCUACGGGAGGCAGCAGUGGGGAAUAUUGGACAAUGGGCGCAAGCCUGAUCCAGCCAUGCCGCGUGAGUGAUGAAGGCCUUCGGGUUGUAAAGCUCUUUCGCACACGACGAUGAUGACGGUAGUGUGAGAAGAAGCCCCGGCUAACUUCGUGCCAGCAGCCGCCGUAAGAC